UUCUUCCUCUUCUCCCCUCGAGCUCAUCACACAUUUUGCCCAAAAUUUGUCAAGAUUUGAAGGCCCCCAUCCAUUCAAGUGAUCACAAAGGUUAGCAACUUUGUCCUUUCAUCUCUCAUUACUAGAUUAGCUCUUGCAAUGCUUUAUAUAGUUACUAAUUUGUGAGUUUAGCAAUUUGGGAGGAAAUAUAUAUGUGCUAGUAUUUGAUUUAUAUGCAAUUUGAGGUCAAAAAUAACACUUAGUUUGCAUAUGUAGGUGUGGUUUACUUAGUGCCUUCUAAAUCUCCGUCGUAAUCACCGUCGAUCGCCCGCACCGUCCCGUCGCCGGCACCACCUUGUGAUGAGCCUCUUGUUCAUGAAAUUUUAUAUAAAAAAUUGAUGUUUGUGUGAUUUGGAUAUAUAGUUAAUCAUGUAAUAAUUAUCUUACCCGUACGUUGUUUGUUAUACAUAGUGCCAUGGUUUUGAUAUCCGUCCCCGUCGG
rnacentral:lncRNA from 1 species